CACGUAGGGGGCGAGCGUUGUCCGGAUUCAUUGGGCGUAAAGGGCGCGCAGGCGGCCCGGAAAGUCGGAUGUGAAAACUCGAGGCUCAACCUCGAGCGUGCACCCGAUACUGCCGGGCUUGAGGCAGGUAGGGGAGAUCGGAAUUCCUGGUGUAGCGGUGAAAUGCGCAGAUAUCAGGAGGAACACCGGUGGCGAAGGCGGAUCUCUGGGCCUGUCCUGACGCUGAGGCGCGAAAGCGUGGGGAGCGAUCCGG
rnacentral:rRNA from 1 species